rnacentral:rRNA from 1 species
AUUGAACGCUGGCGGAAUGCUUUACACAUGCAAGUCGAACGGCAGCACGGACUUCGGUCUGGUGGCGAGUGGCGAACGGGUGAGUAAUGUAUCGGAACGUGCCCAGUCGUGGGGGAUAACGUAGUGAAAAUUACGCUAAUACCGCAUACGAUCUAUGGAUGAAAGCGGGGGAUCGCAAGACCUCGCGCGAUUGGAGCGGCCGAUAUCAGAUUAGGUAGUUGGUGGGGUAAAGGCCCACCAAGCCAACGAUCUGUAGCUGGUCUGAGAGGACGACCAGCAACACCGGAACUGAGACACGGUCCAGAAUCCUACGGGAGGCAGCAGUGGGGAAUUUUGGACAAUGGGCGAAAGCCUGAUCCAGCCAUUCCGCGUGCAGGAUGAAGGCCCUCGGGUUGUAAACUGCUUUUGUACAGAACGAAAAGGUUUCUACUAAUACUAGGAGCUCAUGACGGUACUGUAAGAAUAAGCACCGGCUAACUACGUGCCAGCAGCCGCCGCGG